rnacentral:rRNA from 1 species
AUUGAACGCUAGCGGCAUGCCUUACACAUGCAAGUCGAACGGCAGCACGGGUGCUUGCACCUGGUGGCGAGUGGCGAACGGGUGAGUAAUAUAUCGGAACGUGCCCUAGAGUGGGGGAUAACGUAGCGAAAGUUACGCUAAUACCGCAUACGAUCUACGGAUGAAAGUGGGGGAUCGCAAGACCUCAUGCUCCUGGAGCGGCCGAUAUCUGAUUAGCUAGUUGGUGGGGUAAAGCCUACCAAGGCGACGAUCAGUAGCUGGUCUGAGAGGACGACCAGCCACACUGGGACUGAGACACGGCCCAGACUCCUACGGGAGGCAGCAGUGGGGGAAUUUUGGGACAAUGGGGGCAACCCUGAUCCAGCAAUGCCGCGUGAGUGAAGAAGGCCUCGGUGUAAGCUCUUUGUCUAGGAGAAACGGUAGGGGGCGUAAGUAU